rnacentral:rRNA from 1 species
GACGAACGCUGGCUGCGUCCUUAACACAUCCAAGUCGAACGGGAAGGCCCUGCUUUUGUGGGGUGCUCGGCUGGCGAACGAGUGGGUAACACGUGAGUAACCUGCCCUUGACUUUGGGAUAACUUCAGGGAACUUAGGCUAAUACCAGAUAUGAGCUCCUGCUGCUUGGUGGGGGUUGUAAAGUUUCGGCGGUUGGGGAUGGACUCACGGCUUAUCAGCGUGUUGGUGGGGUAGUGGCUUACCAAGGCUUUGACGGGUAGCCGGCCUGAGAGGGUGACCGGCCACAUUGGGACUGAGGUACGGCACAGACUCCUACGGGAGGCAGCAGUGGGGAAUAUUGCACAAUGGGCGGAAGCAUGAUGCAGCAACGCCGCGUGCGGGAUGACGGCCUUCGGGUUGUAAACCGCUUUCGCCUGUGACGAAGCGUGAGUGACGGUAAUGGGUAAAGAAGCACAGGCUAAGUACGUG